UGGAUUUGGAAAAGCGGAUAGCCCGACCUGAAUCGGGUCAACUGAUGGAGCUAAAAUCUCAAAAUUCUCAGUCGCAACAGAGCACGCGGAGAAAAAAACCUCACAUUUCAGACCAAGUUAUCUCCGCCAUCCGUUGCCGGUUACAACAUGGUAAUUUUCAACUGUAUCACUAUCUAAUGCUUGUAUUCUUGUGGGAAUAUCUCUCUGACCGAGCGGUAUCAUACUAGAUAAAUCUUGCGAAUCUGGACGUCGAAGGAGUGGUGGCUGGAGAAUAAAGUGAUUCGGAGUGGUGGCUGAUGAAGAAGAAAGGAGAAGAAAAAGGAGAAUAAAUAGGAGAGGAGAAGGCGGCUGAAUAGAAGGGUUGGUGUAGGUUUUCCUUAAAUAAAAGUAUGGGAAGUUGGUAAGUACCGUUUUUUGAUUUAUUCAUGGAAGAAGAUGAAGAGUCAUCAAUAUUCAACCCAAAUCGGCCCGCGACCCAGGCGACCCAAGCGCUCCACCGCGACCCAGGCGACCCAAGCGCGCCCCACCGUCGCUCCACGAAUCUCGCACGACCCCGCCGCAUCGGGGCGAUUAUAGGCUCGCUUUGAGCGCCCCGCGCCCCGAGCGCGCCCCGAGCGCGAUUUUCACAACACUGGUUUUGAAAGACAUUUACUAUUGUAUAUGGUAUCAUGUUAUGGGUGGUUUAUGUGGAUGAAAUUAUAUGCUAAAUUUU